AAAUUGAAGAGUUUGAUCAUGGCUCAGAUUGAACGCUGGCGGCAGGCUUAACACAUGCAAGUCGAGCGGUAGCACAGAGAGCUUGCUCUCGGGUGACGAGCGGCGGACGGGUGAGUAAUGUCUGGGAAACUGCCUGAUGGAGGGGGAUAACUACUGGAAACGGUAGCUAAUACCGCAUAAUGU
rnacentral:rRNA from 1 species